AUAACAAUAUGUCACCCGACCUCCGUCAGGGUGACAUAAUAAUAAGAAAAAAAAGAAACGUAGAAUAACAAUACGUCACCCCAACUCUGUUGAGGGUGCCAUAAAAAGAAACGUAGAAUAACAAUAUGUCACCCCAACUCCGUUGAGGGUGCCAUAAUAAGAAAAAAAAAGAAACGUAGAAUAACAAUAUGUCACCCCAACUCCGUUGAGGGUGCCAUAACUAGAUUUGUAAUUGCUAGCAAUAACGGAUGGCACCCUCGCCCCCCCCCCCCAUUGCCAGGAUAAAGGCAGCCAUUUUGAAAUUUCCAAAGUCCAGGAGCAUAUCUACACAUGGAAAUUAUGAUUUUUGUAAAGUUUUAUUAAGUUUGAAGCAUUUUGAAAUUUUUGACAUUUUAGUCAUUUCCAUGGAAACGGCGGCCAUUUUGAAAUUUUUAACUCCAAAAUGCAAUUCUGCCCAUGCCA
rnacentral:lncRNA from 1 species